UGUGCCAGCAGCCGCGGUAAUACGGAGGGUGCAAGCGUUAAUCGGAAUUACUGGGCGUAAAGCGCACGCAGGCGGUUUGUUAAGUCAGAUGUGAAAUCCCCGGGCUCAACCUGGGAACUGCAUCUGAUACUGGCAAGCUUGAGUCUCGUAGAGGGGGGUAGAAUUCCAGGUGUAGCGGUGAAAUGCGUAGAGAUCUGGAGGAAUACCGGUGGCGAAGGCGGCCCCCUGGACGAAGACUGACGCUCAGGUGCGAAAGCGUGGGGAGCAAACAGGAUUA
rnacentral:rRNA from 1 species